rnacentral:rRNA from 1 species
UACGUAGGGGGCAAGCGUUGUCCGGAAUCAUUGGGCGUAAAGAGCGUGUAGGCGGCCCGGUAAGUCCGCUGUGAAAGUCCAGGGCUCAACCCUGGGAUGCCGGUGGAUACUGUCGGGCUCGAGUCCGGAAGAGGAGUGUGGAAUUCCUGGUGGAGCGGUGAAAUGCGCAGAGAUCAGGAGGAACACCCGUAGCGAAGGCGGCACUCUGGGCCGAUACUGACACUGAGGAGCGAAAGCGUGGGGAGCGAACAGG